UACGUAGGAGGCGAGCGUUGUCCGGAGUUACUGGGCGUAAAGCGCAUGCAGGCGGUCCACCAAGUCGGUCGUGACAGUUUCCGGCUCAACUGGAAAAGGAUGAUCGAAACUGGUGGACUUGAGGGCUCAAGAGGAAUGCGGAAUUCCGGGUGGAGUGGUGAAAUGCGUAGAGAUCCGGAAGAACACCAAAGGCGAAGGCAGCAUUCUGGUGAGCAUCUGACGCUCAGAUGCGAAAGCUAGGGGAGCGAAC
rnacentral:rRNA from 1 species